AUGGCCAAAAGCAAACAGGAAAACGCUCAUCCAGAGGCAACGCUCCUAGUGGCCGUGGACUUAAAUGCACAGAAUCUCAAAUCCGUUUUACCUCAUUUCUACCAGCAUAUUAAAUGUGCAACCAGAGGGAAAAAAACUCUAGACCACCUUUAUUCCAUACACAGAGACGCGUACAAAGCUUUCCCUCGCCCUCCAUUUGGCAAAUCUGACCAUAAUUCUAUCCUUCUGAUUCCUGUUUACAAGCAAAAACUAAAGAAGGAAGCACCAGUGACUCGGUCAGUAAGAAAGUGGUCUGAUGAAGCAGAUGCUAAGCUACAGGAAUGUUUUGCUAACACAGAAUGGAAUAUGUUUCAGGAUUCUUCCGAUGGCAUUGAGGAGUACACCACAUCAGACACUGGCUUUAUCAAUAAGUGCAUCGAGGAUGUCAUCCCCACAGUGACUGUACGUACAUACAUCAACCAGAAGCCAUGGAUUACAGGCAACAUCCACACUGAACUAAAGGGUAGAGCUGCCGCUUUCAAGGUGCGGGACUCUAACUCGGAAGCUUAUAAGAAAUCCCGCUAUGCCCUCCGACAAACCAUCAAACAGGUAAAGCGUCAUUACAGGACUAAGAUUGAAUCAUACUACACCGGCUCUGAUGCUCGUCAGAUGUGGCAGGGCUUGCAAACUAUUACAGACCACAAAGGGAAGCACAGCCGCAAGCUGCUCAGUGACACAAGCCAACCAGACGAGCUAAAUUACUUCUAUGCUCACUUUGAGGCAAGCAAUACUGAAGCAUGCAUGAGAGCAUCAGCUGUUCCGGACAACUGUGUGAUCACGCUCUACGUAGCCGAUGUGAGUAAGACUUUUAAACAAGUCAACAUUCACAAGGCUGCAGGGCCAGAUGGAUUACCAGGAUGUGUACUCCGAGCAUGCGCUGACCAACUGGCAAGUGUCUUCACUGACAUUUUCAACCUGUCCCUGACUGAGUCUGUAAUACCAACAUAUUACAAGCAGACCACCAUAGUUCCUGUGCCCAAGAACACUAAGGUAACCUGCCUAAAUGACUACUGA
rnacentral:lncRNA from 1 species